rnacentral:rRNA from 1 species
ACGGAAGGCAGCAGUAGGGAAUUUUCGGCAAUGGGCGCAAGCCUGACCGAGCAACGCCGCGUGAACGAAGAAGUAUUUCGGUAUGUAAAGUUCUUUUAUCAGGGACGAAAAAAUUAAAAUUGACUGUACCUGAUGAAUAAGCUCCGGCUAACUACGUGCCAGCAGCCGCGGUAAUACGUAGGGAGCGAGCGUUAUCCGGAAUUAUUGGGCGUAAAGGGUGCGUAGACGGCACAAAAAGUUUCUUGUAAAAGAUCUGGGCUCAACCCAGUAGAGCAAGAGAUACUGUUGAGCUAGAGUACGGAAGAGGCAAGUGGAACUCCAUGUGUAGCGGUAAAAUGCGUAAAUAUAUGGAAGAACACCAGUGGCGAAGGCGGCUUGCUGGUCCGAUACUGACGUUGAGGCACGAAAGCGUGGGGAGCAAACAGGAUUAGAUACCCUGGUA